rnacentral:misc_RNA from 1 species
GAUGAAGAACGUAGCGAAAUGCGAUAAGUAAUGUGAAUUGCAGAAUUCAGUGAAUCAUCGAAUCUUUGAACGCACAUUGCGCCUGCCAGCAGUCUGGCGGGCAUGCCUGUUCGAGCGUCAUUUCAACCCUCAAGCUCUGCUUGGUGUUGGGGCCCUACGGUUGACGUAGGCCCUUAAAGGUAGUGGCGGACCCUCUCGGAGCCUCCUUUGCGUAGUAACUAACGUCUCGCAUUGGGAUUCGGAGGGACUCUUGCCGUAAAACCCCCAAAUUUUCUAAUGGUUGACCUCGGAUCAGGUAGGAAUACCCGCUGAACUUAAGCAUAUCAAUAAGCGGAGGA